ACAAGUCGAGCGGGUAGCACAGAAGAGCUUGCUCUCGGGUGACGAGCGGCGGACGGGUGAGUAAUGUCUGGGAAACUGCCUGAUGGAGGGGGAUAACUACUGGAAACGGUAGCUAAUACCGCAUAACGUCGCAAGACCAAAGUGGGGGACCUUCGGGCCUCAUGCCAUCAGAUGUGCCCAGAUGGGAUUAGCUAGUAGGUGGGGUAACGGCUCACCUAGGCGACGAUCCCUAGCUGGUCUGAGAGGAUGACCAGCCACACUGGAACUGAGACACGGUCCAGACUCCUACGGGAGGCAGCAGUGGGGAAUAUUGCACAAUGGGCGCAAGCCUGAUGCAGCCAUGCCGCGUGUAUGAAGAAGGCCUUCGGGUUGUAAAGUACUUUCAGCGGGGAGGAAGGCGAUAAGGUUAAUAACCUUGUCGAUUGACGUUACCCGCAGAAGAAGCACCGGCUAACUCCGUGCCACCAGCCGCGGUAAUACGGAGGGUGCAAGCGUUAAUCGGAAUUACUGGGCGUAAAGCGCACGCAGGCGGUCUGUCAAGUCGGAUGUGAAAUCCCCGGGCUCAACCUGGGAACUGCAUUCGAAACUGGCNGGCUAGAGUCUUGUAGAGGGGGGUAGAAUUCCAGGUGUAGCGGUGAAAUGCGUAGAGAUCUGGAGGAAUACCGGUGGCGAAGGCGGCCCCCUNGACAAAACUGACGCUCAGGUGCGAAANCGUGGGGAGCAAACAGGAUUAGAUACCCUGGUAGUCCACGCCGUAAACGAUGUCGAUUUGGAGGUUGUGCCCUUGAGGCGUGGCUUCCGGAGCUAACGCGUUAAAUCGACCGCCUGGGGAGUACGGCCGCAAGGUUAAAACUCAAAUGAAUUGACGGGGGCCCGCACAAGCGGUGGAGCAUGUGGUUUAAUUCGAUGCAACGCGAAGAACCUUACCUGGUCUUGACAUCCACAGAACUUACCAGAGAUGGUUUGGUGCCUUCGGGAACUGUGAGACAGGUGCUGCAUGGCUGUCGUCAGCUCGUGUUGUGAAAUGUUGGGUUAAGUCCCGCAACGAGCGCAACCCUUAUCCUUUGUUGCCAGCGGUUAGGCCGGGAACUCAAAGGAGACUGCCAGUGAUAAACUGGAGGAAGGUGGGGAUGACGUCAAGUCAUCAUGGCCCUUACGACCAGGGCUACACACGUGCUACAAUGGCAUAUACAAAGAGAAGCGACCUCGCGAGAGCAAGCGGACCUCAUAAAGUAUGUCGUAGUCCGGAUUGGAGUCUGCAACUCGACUCCAUGAAGUCGGAAUCGCUAGUAAUCGUAGAUCAGAAUGCUACGGUGAAUACGUUCCCGGGCCUUGUACACACCGCCCGUCACACCAUGGGAGUGGGUUGCAAAAGAAGUAGGUAGCUUAACAU
rnacentral:rRNA from 1 species